GAUCAUGGCUCAGGACGAACGCUGGCGGCGUGCCUAAUACAUGCAAGUAGAACGCUGAAGGAGGAGCUUGCUUCUCUGGAUGAGUUGCGAACGGGUGAGUAACGCGUAGGUAACCUGCCUGGUAGCGGGGGAUAACUAUUGGAAACGAUAGCUAAUACCGCAUAAUAUUGACUAUUGCAUGAUAGUUGAUUAAAAGGUGCAAUUGCAUCACUACCAGAUGG
rnacentral:rRNA from 1 species